UGGGGAAUAUUGCACAAUGGGCGAAAGCCUGAUGCAGCAACGCCGCGUGAGUGAUGAAGGCCUUCGGGUUGUAAAGCUCUGUCUUUUGGGACGAUAAUGACGGUACCAAAGGAGGAAGCCACGGCUAACUACGUGCCAGCAGCCGCGGUAAUACGUAGGCGGCAAGCGUUGUCCGGAUUUACUGGGCGUAAAGGAUGCGUAGGCGGAUUUUUAAGUGAGAUGUGAAAUACCCGGGCUUAACUUGGGUGCUGCAUUUCAAACUGGGAAUCUAGAGUGCGGGAGAGGAGAAUGGAAUUCCUAGUGUAGCGGUGAAAUGCGUAGAGAUUAGGAAGAACACCAGUGGCGAAGGCGAUUCUCUGGACCGUAACUGACGCUGAGGCAUGAAAGCGUGGGUAGCAAACAGGAUUAGAUACCCUGGUAGUCCACGCCGUAAACGAUGAGUACUAGGUGUAGGAGGUAUCGACCCCUUCUGUGCCGCAGUUAACACAAUAAGUACUCCGCCUGGGAAGUACGAUCGCAAGAUU
rnacentral:rRNA from 1 species